rnacentral:lncRNA from 1 species
UUUUACUCAUUAACAACUUCCUUAACCUGCAAUGAAUUUUCAAUAUCUUUAAUCAUUUUGUUAUUAGUUUAUUAAUUUGUUUUAUUUGCUCAAUCCAUUUAUCCAAUAACAAAAUCUUAAAUACUAAUCCAAUUAUGACUUAACAUAAUCUCUUUGAAGAUCUGAUAACAAUAAUUUAAACAUGAACUCAACAUUUAACUUACUU